GUGGGGAAUAUUGGACAAUGGGCGAAAGCCUGAUCCAGCCAUGCCGCGUGAGUGAUGAAGGCCUUAGGGUUGUAAAGCUCUUUCAGUAGGGAAGAUAAUGACGGUACCUACAGAAGAAGCCCCGGCUAACUUCGUGCCAGCAGCCGCGGUAAUACGAAGGGGGCUAGCGUUGUUCGGAUUUACUGGGCGUAAAGCGCACGUAGGCGGAUUGGUCAGUUAGAGGUGAAAUCCUGGAGCUCAAAUCCAGAACUGCCUUUAAUACUGCCAGUCUAGAGUCCAGAAGAGGUGAGUGGAACUCCUAGUGUAGAGGUGGAAUUCGUAGAUAUUAGGAAGAACACCAGUGGCGAAGGCGGCUCACUGGUCUGGUACUGACGCUGAGGUGCGAAAGCGUGGGGAGCAAACAGGAUUAGAAACCCGGGUAGUCC
rnacentral:rRNA from 1 species